rnacentral:lncRNA from 1 species
GGGAAAGGGGAACAUAGGCUCAGGUGUGAGGAAUCAGGCAGAGAGCUGUGGUCCAGCAGGGCUAGCUUAGUGCUAAAGACCUGACUGUGUCAAAGUCACUAAUAGAGUCCUUUUCUUGUGUCCUUUUUCAAGGGGUAAAAACAGGCCCAGCUCUGUGAUCAUCAAACCACAGGGCUGGGCUCAGCCUGGUAUGGACUGAGAGCUACAGGGAGGAGCCUGGCCAGGACUCCUGGGGCCUGUCUGCUCACACAACCUGUUGCCAUUCAGACAACCCUGGGAGGCAGGCACCAGCUCCCCUACCCCUCCUCUAGCUGCUGGGUCUCAGCUAACGGCUCCUCCUUCCUGUAGUUCAACAUGAGGCCAGUCUUGUCCUCUGGAGAAGGACGUGGUCCACAUGGCUUCCACCUUAUGAAGCUACAUCCCUCCAGCCUCUGCAGGACAUGUGGGAUGGAGCGCCCACAGUGAGAGAACUGAGUGUCUCACUGGGCUCAGGGUCUUCAUCAGCUUGCCCCCUCCUCCUCACCAACAUUAUCACUGAUCAGUUCAGAGACUAUGCCUCCUUCCUGCAGGCACCAAAGGUGCUGGCCCCCUGUCCCAGGAUUCCAGAAACUGGUGGAAUUUCUUCCUGCAUGUCUUGACUUUCAUUUUGACUACACUUUUGAGAAUUUUUUUUUUCUAUUACUGACGAAAGCUUCUCCAGAAAACCUUGAAAGGGCUUAAGAAUGUGUCCCCAGCUGAUCCCUGCAAGGUCAAUGUAGAACUGGCCCUGGCCCUGGCCCUGGAUGGAGUCGCUCGGGGAAGGGCAGUGUUUCUCCAUCUCGUCCCAGGUCACUGCUGAUGUGAAGAUGAGGAACUUGGGCGCAUCCACGUGAACAAUCUCUCUUUGGCCUUAAAGGGCUGCGUCGCCCUGAAAGAGCCACAGCUCAGUGAGGCUGCUCUUAAGGUCACAAGUUCAAACCGAACAUAGAGAACUCCGUUCUGUAGCUGCCGCAUGAUGUUUAGUGGCUACCUGGAUGGCUGAGAAGACACUGUAAUUGAACUCCAAGGGCUCUCACGUUUAUGGAUGUAAAGACGCACCACGCAGAUGAUGAUACAUACAGAGAUGAGAAAGAUUUAAUACCCUCAGCAAGUUAGGAAUCGAUUAAGCCACUGUCCCCCUCUGAGGAGAGCGUGAGGACUUUACUCAGGGAGCUUAAAUAUAGUCCUGGAUGAGCAGCCAUUCAUAAGCAUGCUUGGCAAAGGAGGGCAGCACCUUCGUGGCCAUGCACAGUUUAAGGUAAUGGAGCACACGCUUCGAUUUAAAUGAUGUUGAGAGAGUCUCCCACAAAGGUGCCCACCUUGCUUCGCGGCGGCCAACAGCACCACUGUUGGUACUUGGUGUUAUGCAGCUGCCUGUAGGCACAAGACUCACAGGAAGUCAAAACCAAUGGUGAGCUUUGUCCACGUGACUCACUGAAGCUAGGAGCAAAAUGUUGCUAAGAUGUGUCCAAAAGAGUAUGGCGAAAGAGUAUCCAGAAUUUCAGUUUGUGUCUGUCCCUUCUACCUUCAGACUCUGUCUCAUUUCUUUCUAUUGUUCUAGCAGGGAUAAAGACAGUCCUGAAAACUCUUUGUGUGUGAUGGCUGCGGUUACCCUGAACAAAUCUCAUCCCCCAAGAAGAGGCCCUGACGUCAGAGAUGGUGCCCAGCUCAUAGCUCCAAGGUUCCUUCCCGAUAGAGCCUGCGUCUUCAGAGAUGCAUCAGUGACGCUGCUGAUGCACGAGAGUGCAUGGCUGUUUCCAUGCACUGCUUCGCCAUUUUCUGCAAGGAUCUGCCUCCCCACUUGCAGAGCACAGAGGUGUCCAGGUGGCACUAACUGCCCCCACCCCUCCUCCAGGCUUUUUUCUGCUGUUGCAGGAUGCCCAGGCCCUGUGCUUGUUGGCAUUUGUUCUGUCAGGCUUCAAGCUUUUUCUCUUGGAAGCCUUUUAAGAGCCAAACCCUCACCAUUUGCUGAAUAAAACUUUCCCAGGGUUAAAACACUCUUUGUGCUAAGGGAUAAAGACAACUUAAAGGGUUCGGGUCCUCUGUGGGGCCACCGGGUUACACUAAACUGCUGCUGCAUGCACACAGCUCAUAGUGACCCUUCUCACAGUGUCCUCCCAUGUUGUCUUCCCCCAUAGCCUAAUGAGGAAUGGCUACAGCUUCACCCACAGAGCACAUAAAUCUCUCUUGUACCUUUGGAAGUGCAAAUGAGAGGUUCAUUAAUUAGGUAGACCUGUGCCGAUAGGUGUGCUGUGCAGGUCACCUCGGGAUUAGACAGGUUAGAGAUUGCAUCACAGACAGAAACCUCCAAACAUUGGGGGCAAAAUUACUCUUCUGUAGUCACAAACUGAAAACCUCUGAAUUUGUACAUUUUUAGAUGGGUGACUGGCAUACUUGUCUCCUUGGAGGAAGGCAUGAUGUGGCCUAUUCCUCCAAAUAGCCAGGGGAGGAGACUUCAAGUAGUAGAAAUGCAGAGAUGUUUGGACUGCUAAGCUGCCUGUAACCAUGCAAAGAGGCCCAGGUUUUCAGCUUUCAUGGACUGUCACCCAAGUUUGGGUGGGCCUUCUGGUGGUAAACAUGCCUUUUUUUCCCCCUUAAAGUCAUUGCUGUACCUUGUAUGUAACCCCACGUCAAUAUUCCUGGCAGUGACCCCAAUAAAACUUCAUUGCCUCACCA